UACGUAGGGGCUAGCGUUGUCCGGAAUCAUUGGGCGUAAAGAGCGUGUAGGCGGCCCGGUAAGUCCGCUGUGAAAGUCGGGGGCUCAACCCUCGAAUGCCGGUGGAUACUGUCGGGCUAGAGUGCGGAAGAGGCGAGUGGAAUUCCUGGUGUAGCGGUGAAAUGCGCAGAUAUCAGGAGGAACACCGAUUGCGAAGGCAGCUCGCUGGGACGUAACUGACGCUGAGACGCGAAAGCGUGGGGAGCAAACAGG
rnacentral:rRNA from 1 species